rnacentral:rRNA from 1 species
UGCUUUUCAAUUAAAAUGAUAUCUAGUUAAUUAAUAAAUGAAUUUAAUUCAUUUUUUAAAUUGUUUAUUUUAAAUUUAUUAAUUUUGAAUAAUUAAGAUUAAGUUUUUUGGGGAUAAGCUCAAAAUAAAUAAUUAAAAGUUGUUUUAAUAAAAAUUUUUUUUAGGAUUAGAAAUUUUCAUUUUUAUUUUGUUAUAAUUAUAUUUUUUUAUAAAAAAUUUUUAUUUCUUUAAUUAUGUAUUAAUUUAUAGUUAUUAAUUUUUUAUAUUUAGAGAUAAUGAUAAAAUUAGUAAUUUUUUAAAUUUGUUUAUAAGAAUUCGGCAAUAUUAAUUUUCACCUGUUUAACAAAAACAUGGUUUUUUGUUUAUUGAUAUAAAAUUAGGCCUGCCCAUUGAUUUAAAUUAUUAAAAGGCUGCGGUAUUUUAACUGUACUAAGGUAGCAUAAUCAUUUGUCUUUUAAUUGAAGGCUAGCAUGAAUGGUUUGAUGAAAAAUUGACUUUUUUUAAAUAAUUAAUUUGAAUUUAAUUUUUUAGUUAGAAAGCUAAAAUUUUUUUAUAGGACGAGAAGACCCUAUAGAAAUUUAUUUCUUUUAUAUAAUUGAUUUUUUAGUUUAUAAAUUUUGUUUAUAGAAUGAGGAAUUUUGUUGGGGUGACAAUAAAAUUGAUUUAACUUUUAUUUAAUUUUUAUCAUAAAUUAAUGUUUUUUUGAUCUAGAAUUUUUGAUUAUAAGAUUAAUUUACCUUAGGGAUAACAGCGUAAUCUUUUUGGAGAGUUCAUAUCGAUGAAAAGGUUUGCGACCUCGAUGUUGAAUUAAGAUAAGAGUUGGGUGUAAAAGUUCAAUUUUCUUGGUCUGUUCGACCAUUAAAUUCUUACAUGAUUUGAGUUCAGACCGGUGUAAGCCAGGUCGGUUUCUAUCCUUAUGUAAAAUAAAUUAGUACGAAAGGACCAUUUAUUUCAAUAAUUUUGUUUUUAAUGAUUAAAAUUAAAAAAAAAAAAA